UAAAGGAAAGGAGAGAAGGGCGCAUGAAGGAUGCCUUGGCUCUCGGAGGCGACGAAGGACGUGACAAGCUGCGAUAAGCCGCGCGU
rnacentral:rRNA from 1 species